rnacentral:rRNA from 1 species
UACGUAGGGUCCGAGCGUUGUCCGGAAUUAUUGGGCGUAAAGAGCUCGUAGGCGGUUUGUCGCGUCUGCUGUGAAAUCCCGAGGCUCGACCUCGGGCCUGCAGUGGGUACGGGCAGACUUGAGUCUGGUAGGGGAACACGGAAUACCUGGUGUAGCGGUGAAAUGCGCAGAUAUCAGGUGGAACACCAAUGGCGAAGGCAGCUCGCUGGGACGGUACUGACGCUGAGGCGCGAAAGCGUGGGGAGCAAACAGG